rnacentral:rRNA from 1 species
CGGACGGGUGAGUAAUGCUUGGGAAUCUAGCUUAUGGAGGGGGAUAACUACGGGAAACUGUAGCUAAUACCGCGUAGAAUCGAGAGAUGAAAGUGUGGGACCUUCGGGCCACAUACCAUAGGAUGAGCCCAAGUGGGAUUAGGUAGUUGGUGAGGUAAAGGCUCACCAAGCCGACGAUCAGUAGCCGGUCUGAGAGGAUGAACGGCCACACUGGAACUGAGACACGGUCCAG